AGAGUCGAUCGGACAGUCGCUGCCGCGUUUCGUUCUGCGAAAGGCGGGGGAGGAAAGUCCGGGCUCCAUAGGGCAGAGUGCCAGGUAACGCCUGGGAGGCGUGAGCCUACGGAAAGUGCCACAGAAAAUAACCGCCUAAGCGCUUCGGUGCCGGUAAGGGUGAAAAGGUGCGGUAAGAGCGCACCGCGCGUCUGGUAACAGUUCGUGGCUAGGCAAACCCCACUCGGAGCAAGACCAAAUAGGGUUCCAUUGGCGUGGCCCGCGCUGGAACCGGGUAGGUUGCUAAAGACGUGCAGUGAUGUACGUCGUAGAGGAAUGACUGUCCUCGACAGAACCCGGCUUACAGAUCGACUCUCCAC
rfam:Pseudomonas sp. 21C1 contig00007, whole genome shotgun sequence.